UGAAUUAGUGUGAAUCGCAGACUGCUUUGAACAUCGACAUCUUGAACGCAUAUUGCGGCCAUAGGCUUGCCUGUGGCCACGUCUGUCCGAGCGUCGGCUUGUAAACUAUCACUGCGCGUUAUAAGCAGUGGCUUGGGAGA
rnacentral:rRNA from 2 species